GAGAAAUCUAUCAUUUCCCUAAUACAGUUGAUUAACAAGAGGAAAAGAAAUUUGCUAUGUAUGGGAAAGGGAGGAAAAUGGGAAGAAUGGAAAGGUGGAAAUUUUUAAAAAGAUUAUAUUUUCCCUUUUCUAGGAGAGAUAAAAAUAGCGCGAAAGCAAAUGAGAUGAUUAAUUACCCCAACCAUCCCUCAACUUAGGUAAUUAUUUUAACUAUUUUAUUUCAAUCACUCAACUUCAAUUUGUUAUAAUAAAAU
rnacentral:misc_RNA from 1 species